rnacentral:rRNA from 1 species
GGACGAACGCUGGCGGCGUGCCUAAUACAUGCAAGUCGAACGGUCUUUCUAUGGAAGCUUGCUUCCACUGAGAAGAUAGUGGCGAACGGUGAGUAACACGUGGGUAACCUGCCCAUAAGAGGGGGAUAACAUCCGGAAACGGGUGCUAAUACCGCAUAGUUUUCUUGAUCGCAUGAUCGGGAAAGGAAAGACGGCCUUUGUGCUGUCGCUUAUGGAUGGACCCGCGGCGUAUUAGUUAGUUGGUGAGGUAACGGCUCACCAAGACGAUGAUACGUAGCCGACCUGAGAGGGUGAUCGGCCACAUUGGGACUGAGACACGGCCCAAACUCCUACGGGAGGCAGCAGUAGGGAAUCUUCCGCAAUGGACGAAAGUCUGACGGAGCAACGCCGCGUGAGUGAAGAAAGGUUUUCGGAUCGUAAAACUCUGUUGUCAGAGAAGAACAGGUUGGAGAGUAACUGCUCCAGCCUUGACGGUAUCUGACCAGAAAGCCACGGCUAACUACGUGCCAGCCGCUGC